CGGGGCGUAGCGCAGCUUGGUAGCGCGCCACACUGGGGGUGUGGAGGCCGCAGGUUCAAAUCCUGUCGCCCCGA
rnacentral:tRNA from 1 species